UGAGGGAAGGCCAAGCUCACAUUUCAUGGGCUUGGAAAUUUAGAAUUACAAAUUAAUCUACAGGAAACAACUGCUUGAACAAUUUAAAACGGAUGUGCACACCAGUCCACCCAGACCUCUUGUACUGGCCACCAGGCAGUGUACGGGAGCAGUCCCAUCUGAGUUUCUGCUUGCUGGAGUCUUUCUUGUAUCGCUUGCUGCUCACUUCUUUACAAGGGUUAAGCAAGAGGUGAACUCCCCACAUGCCAGUGUUAUGCUGGUCUGCCUGCUGCCAUGUAUAUCCCAUGAUGGAUAUCAACUCCGACCUUCUGGGAUCAUGAGAAGUUGCCUUACUCAUAGUGUUUUGUCCUAGCAAUACAUAGCAUGAUACACAAUACAUGGUGAAGACCUAUGCCAUGAACUAGAAAGCACUGAACUAAGUAUAAUAGCUGGGGACCGAACCCAGGGCCUUGCGCUCACUAGGCAAGCGCUCUACCGCUGAGCUAAAUCCCCAACCCCACCAUUCUAACUUUCUUGUAGCUGAAGCUGCUACAUCUGACUGCAGGAGAGAGAAAAAUGUUUGUCUCAGAGUGAACUCCUUGAAAAGCCUGCACAAUUACGAAGUAUGAAGCUAUGAUUUUCCUGUAAUUUGAAGGUAUUAUCACAGGAGUCUGUGAUACCCUGGAAGCUGCCUUUUCUGUCUGUGCUGGCUGCUUGUUUUGCUUCUUCUGUGGUGGAAGCAGAGCCAUCGAAUCCCCCAGACAGCAUCCUGAGCCAUCAUUGCAGUCCAGGCAAGCUCUGCUCCCCUAGAGAAUGGUACAGGUAAGUGAAUUUAAUAUUUCUUGUGCUUUCCUUAAUUAUCAGUCCUUAAUUAUCAGGGUAAGUCAUAUGCACCAAAUUAUCAUAGUAGGUUUGUGAGUUUGGAGGCAUAGCUCAACAUUUAUUUUCGUAAUCAUGCCUCAAGUCCAAACCGCUGAGCUAUUCCACGUCAUAUUAUUCUAUGUCUAAAAGGUGGCAAGAAGUCAGGAUAGGAUUUCCUUCGUGAAACUUAUCUGGCGCUCACUAGAUAUUGAAAGAACUAGCAGAUAUUCUUAUACCUAUUCUACACUGUGGUCCUCACAGGCCAGAUUCACUCAGUACGUAUCUCAGCAUGGAUAGCCCCAAGCAGUGGGCAUGAGAGUAUGGAUUUCCUAAUCCAGUUUUUUAGAACCGGAGGGUCUUGGUUCAACCUGGUCCUAUCUCACCAUAAGUGGUAAGUAAAGCCAGAGUCAACAUUAUUGAUAUCUGUAAGGAUUUCUCGGAUUUCAAGAGCAGCUCAGCCCUAGUGUGACUUCAGUUUGUUCACUAACCAAGACUAAAGAUGGACACCUGGUCCCAUUAGAGGAAGCUAGGUAACUGGCACAGGGAAAUUCUCCAACAGUUGGGCCUUUUUCUAUAGAGCUCAUUGUAACCGUACAUUAUCCAUCCCUCACAACCAUUUUUAUAGUUUUUCCACCAGGAUAGCCAUCCUCUUUAUUUAAUUUGCUGAAGACAUAGCGUGCUUAUUCCUCAGAUGGAUGAGAAAUCUUAGAUUUACCAGAACUUAUAUAGUGCAUGAAAUUGAUAAGAGGAACAAGUUACUUAUGAUUUUACAAAGUGUAAAUAUCCUUAAACACUAGACACAGGUGUCUUGACAGGUAUUGGAGAAUCUAUGCAAACACUUCCUCUGGGAUGUACUCCUGCUACAGUAAUUUUAAUAACAAUAACUUCUUUUGUAUGUAUCAUCUGCUGGCAACUCUAUCGUGUUCCUAUGUGUGACAUGCUUGCUACUAUUUUACUCGAACAUCAUUAUUAUUUGUGGGCAUAUGAAGAAGAUACCAAGCACUGUUAAGAUUAGGACUUUUCAUUAUGUGUAUAAAAAUGAUUAGUUGAGAUUUUAGUCAACUCCCUCUCUUCUAGUUUUGAGAUAAGGACUACUGUUGAUGUCUCUGCAGGCCAAGAUAACUGAUUUGGCUACGCCAUUGUUUCUGUUUGGAUUCAUGAAACCCUGCAGAGUAGCUUUUAAAGUAUAACAGAUAUAAUAUGAAUUACAGGAGGGUUUAAGGGUUCAAGGCAAAGCCUAUGGUUGAGAGGGAAAAGCCCAAGUUGGAGUAGAUAACAUGUUCAUUUAUUUAUCUUAUAUGUUAAAUGUGUGGUGGAGAAAGGAAAAAAAAAAUGAGCACUCCACAUGUAGAGUAAGAGACUGCGGAAGAGUCGAGAGCUAGGCUCUAUGGGGACAUCAGACAAUGGGGAGGAUUGUGUUCAUUUGUUUGUGAGUAGCCUGAGGCUUAUGGAGGAGUAAUGAGGCUGACUGCAUAUAUGCUAGGAUUUACAGAAACACAGGUUGGAUGAGAUAAACAAGAUAUCUUCCUCUGAGACAGGUCGGAAGAGAUACUGCUAGUCAUUUAACUCCUCCAAGUGGUAUGCAUGUUCUUGUAUAAAUUUGAAAGCACCUGGCAACACCACAAAAAGUUCUGUAGCGAGGUAGUAGGUUAUCCAUCAACUAUGUACUCACUACACAGGAAGAGCCUAGAUAAUAAAGAAUAGAUCCUACUUGAAAGGAAGGAAAAGCAAAAGAGUAUAAGAAACAGAUUGGGGGUGAAAGGGCAGGUAAGAAUACAAGGAAACAGAAGUGUAAGGAGUUAACAUCUCAUGGCUUCUAUGAUUCAGCUUCCUGUAUCGAGAGAGGAAACAGAUGUUUCAUCCAAAGGGUAUUCCACAUGGAUUGAUGAAAAGAUCCUGACCAUUCAGGCCAUAGAUCCAGCCCCAAAUCUCCUUAGGGUGCUGGGGCAGCAAUGACUUCUUCAGUCUUGGUCAGCAGUAUAAAAGCUGUUCAUGUUGCCCUACCCAAUUCUCAGAGCUCUGUCUGUGGUCAGGAACUUUUCCCAGAGGAAACUGACUAAGAUUUAGUUACUCUAGGAGCCUGAUCACAGUCAGGGAGCUUGGAAUCAGUCUACCACAGCCCCUUGGAGGAGUAGGAGGCAGUUGUGGACCAAGGGGAGGGUGAGGCACAGACACUGAAAAGCUCAGGUGGCAGGAAGCUCAGGCAGUGAAGGGCUCAGAGGUUAAUGGCCUUGCCCUCUUUGACAAGGAGCUGGACAACUUCAGUAGAUACUUAUAGCCAAGGGACAAAGGUCAGCUGGUUGCUUAAACUCUGUGGUAAGCCAUGCCCUUUGAGAAAUGAGAACCGUAAAGUUCAGGUCCAGUUGUUAGUCCCCUCAGCCUUGCAUAAUGGCACAGUGAAGGAAAGAAUCCACAGAGUUCAGAGAAAGCCCACAGAACAAGAGAAAGGCUUUGUCAACCAAGUAUCUGACAGAAUCUUAACACCUAGAUUCCAGAAAGAAUUUAAAAAGCUAAAGAUUUUUUAAAAAUGCAUAUUUAAAAACUAAAAUCUCUCAAAUAUCCAAUUCAUAAAUGGACAAAUGAAUUUGAAUAGGCAGUUCUUUAAAAGAGAAAUAAAAUAGUCAAUGAGUAGCUACCAAACCAAUUAGCAUCUGUGAUGGUUUGAAGGAGAAUGGCCUCUGUAAGCUCAUAUGGUUGAAUGUUUAGUCUCAGGGGAGUAGAAAUGUUUGGAAAGAGUCAGGAGACGUGAACUUGUUGGCAGAGGUGUGUUACUGGGGCUGCGUUUCAAGGUUUCAAGAGCUCAUGCUAGUCUCAGUCUCCCUCUCAGUCAUGGUGUCUCUUUUUAGAAAAUAGAACAGUAACUAAGGCACUAUCUAUUGUUAUUAGGGAAAUAUUAAUUAAAACUACAUUAGCACUCUGUUUUAGCUCUGUCAGAAUGCCUGUUAUCAAGAAAACAAAUAAAAGACACCAUUUGCUGUAACCCCGCAAUGACUGACCCUUGGUGAACAAUGCCUUGGGUAACUCAAGAGGGGCUCCAGGAAAAAAGGCAAAGGGCCUUAUACCUUAGGUACACUUUAUUCUCUAGAGAUAGUUUUUGGUCGUGAUUUCUUGCCUCCUCAACAAACAUUUGCAUUCAAUUUAUAAGACAUGGUGAUUUUGUUGGAUAUCAGGGCAUAGUUAUAGAACCCUUCUAGUCAGUGUACCCUGAAUCUGAAUAUGGCCUUCUGCCUUGCUUCUGUGCUUUUCCAGGCACAAUCUAUAGUAGACACCAGGCAAUUGUGCUUUAAUUGGUUUUUCUUUUAUAAGAGUUACCAUGGUCAUAGUGUCUCUUCCCAGCAAUUGAAAUAGGAACCCUGAUUGCCUGCUCAUGGGAAAGGAAACUAAAGUGACCCCUAUGGAAAUUCCUACAGCUUCCAUAGGCAACCAAGAAUAGAAAUCUUAUAUAACCCAGCUAUACUACUUCUAGGUCUGUACUCUUAAGUUAUUAAGUCAACAUACUACAGGACUACCUGCAUAUCCAAAUUUAUUAUUGUAUUAUUCAUAAUAGUGAAUGAUAUAGGGCAGACCUGGGUACCUAUCAAUGAACAGUAAAGGAAAGUUAGUGCAUAUACCCAAUUUUAGUUCAUUUACCCACAGAGAACAAUUAAAUUACGUCAUAUUCAGGAAAACGGAUGAUCUAGAGAACAAAGCCAAACUUAGAAAGCUAAAUCAUCACAUGUUAUUGCUUACAUGGAAUGUAGGUUAACUAUGUAUGUUAGGAGAAGAAAGAGUAGAGAGUUGUGGAGGGAGGUGGAGGAAGAGUAGGGUAGUGAUACUACCCUUGAGGGAAGUGGAACUGAUAUUGGAGAUGUUGGAAAUAUGUUAAUUAUAGACAAAUUAAUAUGUGCAUAUACCGAACUCUUUUGGGCCAACAUGGCAGCACUUGUCUAGUUGUCUGCCUAAGUGACAGGGACCUGGCUCACUUACCUUCAUCAGUCAGCUUGUGGAUUGGUUUGUAAAAACCAAGAUAAUUAUUUACAGCAAGGAACAUUAAUCAUCAUCAUUUUCUUAAGAUAUACAGUCCAGUUUUAGCUGUAUCUUCUUAAAUGCAUCCAUAUGAUUAUGUAGGCCUUUAAAGUUUAUAAUGUGUGAUGUGUUUUCUCUCACAUGUGAUGACAUGUACCAUAAAAGCAAACAGGCAGUCUAUUUGGGGACAGGAAAGGCGCUAGCAAGAGUGUGCAGAAAGUGGGAAUGGAGGAGUGGGUUGACCAAAUAAGGUCAAAUAUGCUGAUAUAUACAUAUAAAAAUGUCAUAAUGAAACCCAUUAUUUUGAAUAGCAACUGAAAACAAUUAAUUUUUUAAAAAAAAAAUCACAAAGGUAUCCAUCCAUAAAACAAUAAUGCAUGAGGUAAAUAAAAUAUUCAAAAGCUGUAAAUAGUACUUAAAAUUUACCAUGUAUAUAAUACACAAUUACUACACGAUAUAGUAAAGGAAGAAAUUGAGAUGAGUUUCCCUUUAUAGAAACAUGGUGUGGCCUAAGGGAAGGGUCUUGGACUCAGGGAUGAGCUGAACUUUGGGUGUGUGUACACAGCAGAUAUUUUUUCCACAGACCUGAGUAUCAAUUUCACUCUGUGGAAAAUCAAGAGGUUGGCCUUCAAGGCUGCACCUGCCCAGGACAGCCUGUGAGUCAUUGAAUCUAAGUAUAAAUUAACGCAGCUCCGAGAGCAUAAGCGAUUUCUAAUUGCUGAUGUGUGACAAUUUAAAAUAAGAAGCCAAAAUGGUCUCUGCCAUUAGCUCUGACACCAGUCUCCCUCGAAGACAAAGGUCAGCCACUUCAAUUUCCUCCAUCCUGCCGGCUCCAUCCCCCAACAGGCAUAACAUUCCUGGCCUGCCUUUUCUUCAUGAAUCUCUUGUCUAGAUUAAUAAGUGUCUGAUUUCUCUGAAGGAAAUGGCUCUUAUAUUGAAGGUACAUUAAUUCUCUUAGGUCACUGUGGCACCAUUUGCUUAAUUCUAUUACAAAGUGACAGACAUAGAUUCCAUUGUCCUCACCCAGCUCAUGGCUUCUGCCUAAACACCAAGAAAGUCAUUUCAAACAAAUAAUAUUAGUGUCUUAGAGUUUCCGUAAGUUAUGUUCUUUAGGUGAUCGCUCCUUAAAAUGGUGUCACCUUGGUUUUUUUUUUUUUUUUUUUUUUUUUGGUUCUUUUUUUUGGAGCUGGGGACCGAACCCAGGGCCUUGCGCUUCCUAGGUAAGCGCUCUACCACUGAGCUAAAUCCCCAGCCCCAUCACCUUGUUUUUUACACAGGUAUUUAAUUUUUCCUUGUCUUAUCGUCCAGCAGAUGGGAAAUAUUUCACAAGCUGUGGGCCUUCUGAAAGUGUUUUCCUAGGAAAUGAGACACUCAACUGAGGAUCUAGGAAGCUACUCUCCACCUAGAUUAUAGACACAAGAAAUUAUGUUUUUUCCUAUCCUCCAAUGUAGAAAUAGAAACCUGCAAGUUCCACAAGUCUGGAUCCAGCUUCACGACUUGAACAACCCUGCUGUUACCAUAACCAGAGUACAGGAGGAAGGAGUUGUCCAUCGGCCUCUAAGACCUGGCUCUGUUAAAAAGCUAGAGAGGAAUGGGCAAGAACGGCAUUGGGGUUUCUCAUCUUAAGUAAAUAACUAAUAUCUACUUUGAAUUAACACAGGAAGGUCAUAUCAUAUACACUUACAUAAAAUCUCACAGAGACCAAAUGUAAUUCUAGAAGAAGGAUUUAUAUUUCUACCGUUUUGGAGGGAGAGUUGGAGGAUAUGAAAAUUCAUUGUGGUUUUUUUUUUUCCCUCUCAUGUUUAUUUUGUAAUAGCUGGUACUAACGAGGUCAUUUCUUUUUUUUUUUUUCUUUUUCUUCUUUUUAGAAAAAUUUUGAACUAGGAAUUAAAUAAUGCACACUUUAGUAUGCAGUUGGUUCAAGAAGAAAUGACAAGGGAAGUAGAAAAGGUCCUAAGACAAUGGAAAAUGGAAAAUGCACACACUAAACCUAAGAAACCAUCACCAGCAGAACAAAGAAUGAAGUUUAAAUCGUGACAAAUGUGCAUUCAAAACAGUCAAAGGAUUUCAAAAUGGCCUCCCUUUACAUCUCAGAAGAGCUAAGAAAAUGCCACCACUGUCCUAAAUAUAAGAUUUACAGUAGAAAGGAAACAAUACCAUCAGAUAUAUGUUUUUUGGGUUUUUUUUACUAUUUUAUAGAUAAAAUGUUGUAACCAUAACCAGGAGUACAGCAGUAACAGAUAAAAUGAACAGAAAAAAAAUGGGAAAAGCAAGGAAACCUUUGCCGUGGGUUUUAAAGAUCAAUCAAAUCAGCAAACCCUUUGCCAGGCUAAGGGAGAAACAGUGACAGAGAUUUGAGUGGCACAAUUUAAAACCACGAGAGAAGGUAAAAUUGGUGUAACUAAGUAAGGAUAAUCAGGAGACUAGGAAUAUGCACCAAUGCAUUGGCGGUGUAACUAAGUAAAGACGAUCAGUAGACUAGAGAUAUACACCAAUGAGUUGGGUGGCCUACGGGUGUGUGCAGUUUUAUAGAGACUGUUGAAGCUUUGAAACAUGGGAAAAAAAUAAAGUAGAAAAAAGUGCAUGAUACAACAAGGACAGGGAGUCAUGAUAAAUUAAUAUUAAUUAAACAACUAUUAUUUAAAUAUUUAAUAAAUAAAUAUUAACAAAAUAAUAUUAAUAAGAUUAAUAAGAUUAAUCUCCCAACAAAGCUCACUUCUAGUUUAAAACUGUGUGAAAUAUUUAAAGAAUUAAUACCAAUCCUUCCCAAACAGUCCCAAAUUGGAUAAUUUCAGAAUCACUUUAUGAAGGCAGAAUAACAUGCCUAGAGGAUUGGUCCUGGAAUGCACGGAUGGUUUUACACACAAAUAAAUUAGAGUAGUGAAAGGCUAAAGCGACGGGGAAAUCUAUGCCACUCUAUUCCUAGGAAAAACUCACUUCAAGGCUAUAGAAGAACAGAGGCGACUUCAAAAGAUGAUUGCCUGAGUUCUGAGAUUAGAAGUUGAAGUAAAGCUAGGCAGAAGACUUGGCUAGACAUGUCGCUAAAGAAGACAUAUAAAUGACAAUCCUCUGUGAAAAGAUGAUCAAUAUUGCUAACGAAGGGAAUACAAAUCAAAGAAACUAUGCCAUCUACUGCAUACCUGUUAGAAUGUUACUGUUUAAAAACACCACCACACCACCACACCACCACACGGGGGUGGGGCACAAGGGGGAGGGAAGGAGGAAGGGAUUGAGGGAGGGAAGAGAGAGAGAGAGAGAGAGAGAGAGAGAGAGAGAGAGAGAGAGAGAGAGAGAGUAUGCAUGUGCUAUAAGGCUGUGGGGAAAUCUUAUACACAGGCAGCAGGAAGGUUGUACUAGUUACUAUUUUUUUUUUUGCUGUGAUAAAACACCAUGCCCAAAAGUAACUUGAAGAGUUUAUCUGCUUAUAGCUGUGAAGAUAGAGUCUAUAAUGACAGGGGAGGCCCUGAAGCAGGCGCCCAGAGCAAGAAACAGAGGGAAUCGCAUCUCAACCACACAAAGGAAGCAGAAACCCCAAAGCCUUCCCAAAUGACUUACUUCCUCCAGCAAGGCCACACCUCCUACUAUUUCCAUAACCACCCGGAGCAGUGGCACUAACUAGGGAGCUCAAAUCUCCGAGCCUAUGUGGGAUAUUUCUUAUUCAAAAUACUACAAAGGCCAAAUGAUAGCCACUAUGGAAAACAGUCUGAAAUUCCUCAAUUAAAAUUACAAGUACCUCGAGAUCCAGUGAACAGUUAACCAAAGGGAUUGGAAAUCGAAACUUUGAAGAGAUGUUUGCAUCCUCCUGUUCACAUUCCAGAAGACUGACAGACCUUAAAUCUCCACCUUGUGAUGGAUUGAUGGAGAAAAUGUGAUAUAUAUACACAGCAGUGUAUUAAUCAACCUUGAGGAAGUGAGUUGUGUAACAUGAACGACUCUAGAGGACAUUGUACUAAGGGAAAUGAGCCAAUCACAAAAAGAUCAAUCCCCUGUGACCCUAAUCACAUGAAGUUGUAACAUGGUCCAAUUUGGAGAAGAGAAUAUAGAAUGAUGGUGGCCAUAGACUGGGGAGGAAGAAUGUGUGAUCAAUUCUGUCUUAGCCUGGAUUAUCUUCCAGUAUAAUACUGCCCUUAGUCUAAUGGCAUGGUCGUAGAGUCAGAAACUCUCAGUGGCUGUGUGCUGGGCCCUUUCUCUCAGAAUAUUUGUGCAAUAGUUUUUGGGUUCAUAUGCUGGGCAGUGUCCACAUGCUACAAGUCAAGUAUAUCGAGCUUCUGACUUGAGGGCUUAGGAAUUGUUUGUGUUUACAUUUGCAGGAAAGAUUAAUAUUUUUGAAUCUUGGUGUUGUUUCUGUGGUCUCUAUAACAAUAGUACUGUCUAAGCUGUAGAAACAGUGAGAUUUUAAGCAUACCCUGAGCUCUGUAUGUACAUGAACACCCUCUAUGUUAAGGGGGUCACCGGCAUGUAAUCUCAUAAUGUUGUUUAGGUCAGCUGACUAGGAAAGGAAUCAACUGUGAAUGACAAGCAUUUACUCUCCGUCUGUUUCUUAAAUGCAGGGAUGAAACGCCAAGGUGAGAUGCGCUUCUGAGCCAGGAAUAGUUUGAGAGUGUGAACACACUCUCCACACACCCUCUGUUUACUUGGAACUCCAUCUCCUUCACCAGCUCUCACCCCUGUGUAGACGGAUCCCAGUGUCCCACAUCCCACACUCUUCAUGCUCUGGUUAUUUCCAUAUGAAAAUGAUCAAUGCAUCAUGGGCCUUCAACUCCUCGUAACGGCUCCAGUGGCACAUAAAAACCAAAGCAAAUGUGUGUUCUUUUCUCCUGGUCUUUUGUCUUUGUCCUCUGAUCAUGCCAAAAUCUCCGGAAAGAACAGAAGUAAAAGCUGACUUCCUGUAUGUAGUGCAUGGAAUUUCCUUUAGUUUGGUUUUAACCAAGCCAAUAUUUAACCUCCUUCUUUAUGCUGAGGCCAACUCUUAGUGACAAUGUGAGUUGUGCCUUAUUUUGCAGGUUGGUAAAUAAUUUUCAGGCAUUAAGCAUUGAUUUUUCUCUUCAUUGACAUGUAUAAGUGUAUGGUUGUGACUCAAGUGGAGAUCUUGCAGGGGAAUGAAAUGUGCUAUAUUUUAGGAGGUAAGACGCUGGGCUACAGGACUCUGAACACAUGAAGCAUCCUCUGCUCUAUUAUAAGGACCUCACACAGCUGCAGAUGUUGAAGAAUAGCUGAAGGAGUGACUGAAAUUUUUUCUUGGCCCCAGAGACACAGGAAGGCGCAGAUACUGAAAACCAACUCAAUCUAUAGUCCAUUACAUUGCCCUUCCAAAUUGUAAUCCUUCACACAUUCCUUCACUUUAAGAAAGAAAUAAAAAAUGAUGGUCUUUUUCAAGGCCCAAGUCAGAAAAAGAAAGAGGUAUCUUUCUUUAGGAACUAUACACCAGCUUUCCUAUAGCUUCCCUUUGUUCCUACCCUGACGAGGGCUUAUUUAUUUAUUUGUUUAUUUAUUUUAAUCUUUAUUAACUUGAGUAUUUCUUAUUUACAUUUCUUUUUUUUUCUUUUUUUUUCUUUUUUCUUUUUUUUCGGAGCUGGGGACCGAACCUGGGGCCUUGCGCUACCACUGAGCUAAAUCCCCAACCCCGCUUCACUCCUUCUUUAAACGGGGAACAAGAAUACCCUUGGCGGGGAAUAGGGAGGCAAAGUUUAGAACAGAGGCAGAGGGAACACCCAUUCAGAGCCUGCCCCACAUGUGGCCCAUACAUAUACAGCCACCAAACUAGAUAAGAUGGAUGAAGCAAAGAAGUGCAGGCCGACAGGAACUGGAUGUAGAUCUCUUCCGAGAGACACAGCCAGAAUACAGCAAAUACAUAGUCGAAUGCCAGCAGCAAACCACUGAACUGAGAAUGGGACCCCCGUUGAAGGAAUCAGAGAAAGGACUGGAAGAGCUUGAAGGGGCUCGAGGUCCCAUAUGAACAACAAUGCCAACCAACCAGAGCUUCCAGGGACUAAGCCACUACCCAAAGACUGUAUAUGGACAGACCCUGGGCUCCAACCACAUAGGUAGCAAUGAAUAGCCUAGUAAGACCACCAGUGGAAGGGGAAGCCCUUGGUCCUGCCAAGACUGAACCCCCA